rnacentral:rRNA from 1 species
AACGAACGCUGGCGGCAGGCUUAACACAUGCAAGUCGAACGGGCGUAGCAAUACGUCAGUGGCAGACGGGUGAGUAACACGUGGGAACCUUCCUAGGGGUACGGAACAACUCAGGGAAACUUGAGCUAAUACCGUAUACGUCCGUGAGGAGAAAGAUUUAUCGCCCUUAGACGGGCCCGCGUCGGAUUAGCUAGUUGGUGGGGUAACGGCCUACCAAGGCGACGAUCCGUAGCUGAUCUUAGAGGAUGAUCAGCCACACUGGGACUGAGACACGGCCCAGACUCCUACGGGAGGCAGCAGUGGGGAAUCUUGGACAAUGGGCGCAAGCCUGAUCCAGCCAUGCCGCGUGAGUGAAGAAGGUCUUCGGAUUGUAAAGCUCUUUUGCCAGGGACGAUAAUGACGGUACCUGGAGAAUAAGCCCCGGCAAACUUCGUGCCAGCAGCCGCGGUAAU